UAAUACGAAGGGGGCUAACGUUGUUCGGAAUCACUGGGCGUAAAGGGCGCGUAGGCGGCGCGACAAGUCAGGCGUGAAAGCCCCGGGCUCAACCCGGGAAUUGCGCUUGAUACUGUCGUGCUUGAGGCCGGGAGAGGAUGGCGGAAUUCCCAGUGUAGAGGUGAAAUUCGUAGAUAUUGGGAAGAACACCGGUGGCGAAGGCGGCCAUCUGGACCGGUUCUGACGCUGAGGCGCGAAAGCGUGGGGAGCAAACAGGAUUAGAUACCCUGGUAGUCCACGCCGUAAACGAUGAGUGCUAGACGUCGGGGGGUUCACCUUCCGGUGUCGCAGCUAACGCUUUAAGCACUCCGCCUGGGGAGUACGGUCGCAAGAUU
rnacentral:rRNA from 1 species